UGGGGAAUUUUGCACAAUGGGCGGAAGCCUGAUGCAGCGACGCCGUGUGGGGGAUGAAGGCCUUCGGGUUGUAAACUCCUUUCGUCAGGGACGAAGUUUGUUUGACGGUACCUGGAUAAGAAGCACCGGCUAACUACGUGCCAGCAGCCGCGGUAAUACGUAGGGUGCGAGCGUUGUCCGGAUUUACUGGGCGUAAAGGGCUCGUAGGUGGUGUGUUGCGUCGUCUGUGUAAUCCAGGGGCUUAACUUUUGGUUGGCAGGCGAUACGGGCAUUGCUUGAGUGCUGUAGGGGGGACUGGAAUUCCUGGUGUGGCGGUGAAAUGCGCAGAUAUCAGGAGGAACACCGAUGGCGAAGGCAGGUCUCUGGGCAGUUACUGACGCUGAGGAGCGAGAGCAUGGGUAGCGAACAGG
rnacentral:rRNA from 1 species